rnacentral:rRNA from 1 species
AUACGUAGGGAGCGAGCGUUGUCCGGAAUUACUGGGUGUAAAGGGAGCGUAGGCGGGAGUGCAAGUCAGAUGUGAAAUACAUGGGCUCAACCCAUGGGCUGCAUUUGAAACUGCAUUUCUUGAGUGAAGUAGUGGUAAGCGGAAUUCCUGGUGUAGCGGUGAAAUGCGUAGAUAUCAGGAGGAACACCGGUGGCGAAGGCGGCUUACUGGGCUUUUACUGACGCUGAGGCUCGAAAGCGUGGGGAGCAAACAGGAUUAGAUACCCUGCUAGUCCACGCUGUAAACGAUGAUUACUAGGUGUGGGGGGACUGACCCCUUCCGUGCCGCAGUUAACACAAUAAGUAUUCCGCCUGGGGAGUACGGCCGCAAGGUUGAAACUCAAAUGAAUUGGCGGGG